rnacentral:rRNA from 1 species
UACAGAGGUCUCAAGCGUUGUUCGGAUUCAUUGGGCGUAAAGAGUUCGUAGGCGGCUCGGCAAGUGAGGUGUGAAAUCCCUUGGCUCAACCAAGGAAUUGCGCUUCAAACUGCCGGGCUCGAGGGAGAUAGAGGUGAGCGGAACUGAUGGUGGAGCGGUGAAAUGCGUUGAUAUCAUCAGGAACACCAGAGGCGAAGGCGGCUCACUGGGUCUCUUCUGACGCUGAGGAACGAAAGCUAGGGGAGCAAACGGG